rnacentral:rRNA from 1 species
AUUGAACGCUGGCGGCAUGCCUUACACAUGCAAGUCGAACGGCAGCACGGGAGCAAUCCUGGUGGCGAGUGGCGAACGGGUGAGUAAUAUAACGGAACGUGCCCAGUCGUGGGGGAUAACGUAGCGAAAGCUACGCUAAUACCGCAUACGAUCUACGGAUGAAAGCGGGGGAUCGCAAGACCUCGCGCGAUUGGAGCGGCCGAUAUCAGAUUAGCUAGUUGGUGAGGUAAAGGCUCACCAAGGCGACGAUCUGUAGCUGGUCUGAGAGGACGACCAGCCACACUGGAACUGAGACACGGUCCAGACUCCUACGGGAGGCAGCAGUGGGGAAUUUUGGACAAUGGGCGCAAGCCUGAUCCAGCAAUGCCGCGUGCAGGAUGAAGGCCUUCGGGUUGUAAACUGCUUUUGUACGGAGCGAAACGGUCUUCUCUAAUACAGGGGGCUAAUGACGGUACCGUAAGAAUAAGCACCGGCUAACUACGUGCCAGCCGCCGCAGUAA